AUGCCACUUACUACUAGUCUAGCUAGCACAAGAAGAGAGAGCGGGCUAGCCACGCCAGGUAGAUUCAGCAACGUACGCACGUAUACCAGCUUUCUUGCAAAGAUGCGUGCCGGCGGCUGCGCGGUGCAGCAGGCUCUGGCGCCGGAGGCGGCGUCCGUGGUGAGGCAGGCGGUCACACUGGCACGGCGGCGCGGCCACGCGCAGGUCACCCCGCUCCACGUCGCCACCGCCAUGCUCCUUCCCCCGGCGCCGGCGGGCCUGCUCCGCGCCGCCUGCCUCCGCUCCCACUCCCACCCGCUCCAGUGCAAGGCCCUCGAGCUCUGCUUCAACGUCGCGCUCAACCGCCUCCCCACCUCCGGACCCGCCGCCAUGUUCCACGGCGGCGCGCACAUGCAACAUCAUCACCACCACCGCGGCGCCUCCGAUGCACCCGCGCUGUCCAACGCGCUCGUCGCCGCGUUCAAGCGCGCGCAGGCGCACCAGCGCCGCGGGGGCGCCGGGGACGGCGUCCAGCAGACGGCCGCGCCGGUGCUCACCGCCAAGGUCGAGCUGGAGCAGCUCAUCGUCUCCAUCCUCGACGACCCGAGCGUGAGCCGCGUCAUGCGCGAGGCCGGAUUCUCCAGCUCGCAAGUCAAGGACAACGUCGAGAAGGCCGUCUCCUCGGCGUCGCCGUCGUUGGAACGCGCGGCUAACAUGACGACGACGAGCUCUAUUAAGGAGUCCAGAGCGAAGUCGGCCGGCGGCGACGACGCCAUGCGCGUGCUAGAGUGCAUGGCGAGCGGGACGAAGCGGUGCUUGGUCGUCGUCGGCGAGGGCGCGGAGGCGGCCGUGAAGGCCGUGAUGGACAAGGUGAGCAAGUCGGAGCUUCACCACCGGCACCACGAGCGCCUCAAGAGCGUCCAGUUCGUGCCGCUCUCCGUCACGUCGUUCCGGCACGCCACGAGGGAGCAGGUGGAAGCCAAGACUGGCGAACUCCGCGCGCUCGUUUGCGAGGCCCGCGCCGCCGGUAAGGGCGUCGCGCUCGUCGUAGAGGACCUCGCCUACGCGGCCGACGCCUGGCACAAGAGAAGAGGCGAGCAUGUUCACGGCGGACACUCACAGUACUACUGCCCCGUUGAGCACGCCGUCAUGGAGGUGAGUGGCCUGGUAUCCGGCGACUCUGGCUCCGGCGGCGGAAGGUUCUGGCUGCUAGGGUUUGCGAGCCGCACGGUGUUCAUGAAGUGCAGGGUCGGGCAGCCGUCUUUGGAGGCCGUCUGGGGGAUCCACCCCCUCGUCGUGCCAGACGGCGGCAGCCUCGCGUUAAGCCUCAGCUGCACCAUUGAGGCACAGGCUAGCCAGCAAGCAGGAAGAUCGAUAACGGGGUGGCCCUUGGUCAACGGCGCGGCCAUUACCGGCGAGAGCGAGCUCACUUGGUGCGCCAGGACGCCGUCCCCGGAGCCGAACAUACCGUCAUGGCUUCGCCGGUACCAUGACCCAUAUCACACCACACCGACGAGCAGCAGUACCAGUCUUCAGCAGUUGCAAGAUCUAUGGAACCCCGUGCGCAAUUGGUCAGCAACGCACCACCAUACAUCGGAGCUAACCUUGAGCUUCUCAUCCCCUACAUCACCGGCAGCUUCUUCCCUCUCCGGCUACAACAACAACCCGAUGACGAUGAGCUCGUCCAAGCCUUGUCAUCCCGAGCCGAGGAAACCGUGGCCGCCGUCAAACCAAGGGCACGACGGUCCGGCCACAAGGGCGGAGGCGAUUCGUGAUCUUCCUCGGUGGCAUAAUACCGAAAUCGCUUUCCCAGAAUCCAUUACGGUUCAAUCCAAUUCACCCAAUGGUCACGGCGGCGGUACGGCAGAUCCGGAGCCGCGGCGCCCGAAGUUCACGGAGCUUACCGCAGAAAACCUCAAGAUCAUGUGUGGCACGCUCGAGGAUUGCGUGCCGUGGCAUAUUAAGGACAUGGCAGCGGGCGUUGCCAGCGCUGUGCUCCAACGCCGGUCCGGCAUGGCGAGGCAGCGAGACACGCCGACGCCGAGCUCGACGACGUGGCUGCUCUUCAAAGGGAGCGACCGUGACGGCAAGAAGUCCAUGGCUCUGGAGAUCGCCAAGCUCGUCUUUGGAUCCUACAAUGACUUCAUCUCCAUGUCAUCAGCCGGCUGCACCCCGGUUCACUCCAGUUCGAGCUCUGGCGAGCUUUCCGGCAAGAGGCAGAGAUCGCCGGACUACGAGCAUAGCUGCGCACAAAGGUUUUACGAAGCGAUCCGCGAGAACCCUCGCCGGGUGCUGAUGAUCGACGAUGUCGAGCAAAUGAACCUUGAAUCAGAGAUCGGCAUCAAGAAAGCGAUUGCCAGUGGAAGGGCGAGGGGUUGCAAUGGCGUUGAGAUCAGUCUCGAGGAUGCCAUCGUAGUGCUGAGCUGCGAAGCAUUCGACUCGAGAUCUAGGGCUUCCUCUCCUCGGGUCGUCAAGCAGAAGGUCAUAUGCGACGAGGAAUACAGUGGCGGCGUGGAGAAGGGGGUGAUGAAGCCGCCAUGUUUUAGCUUGGAUUUGAACGAGUUCGCCUCUGGUGAUGAUGAAGGACAUCAGGAGGAAGAGGGAUUGGAUAGUGACGUGGAGAUAUGUGAUGUUGUGGAUGGUGUUUUCUUCUUCCGAUUACCGGGAGAUUUGUCACAUUAG
rnacentral:rRNA from 1 species